GAUGAACGCUGGCGGCGUGCCUAAUACAUGCAAGUCGAGCGAACAGACGAGGAGCUUGCCCCUCUGCCGUUAGCGGCGGACGGGUGAGUAACACGUGGAUAACCUACCUAUAAGACUGGGAUAAAUUCGGGAAACCGGCGAUAAUACCGGACAAUAAAUUGAACCGCAUGGUUCAAUAGUGAAAGACGGUUUUGCUGUCAAUUAUAGAUGGAUCCGCGCCGGAUUAGCUAGUUGGUAAGGUAACGGCUUACCAAGGCAACGAUGCGUAGCCGACCUGAGAGGGUGAUCGGCCACACUGGAACUGGGACACGGUCCAGACUCCUACGGAGGGCAGCAGUAGGGAAUCUUCCGCAAUGGGCGAAAGCCUGACGGAGCAACGCCGCGUGAGUGAUGAAGGUCUUCGGAUCUUAAAACUCUGUUAUUAGGGAAGAACAAAUGUGUAAGUAACUAUGCACGUCUUGACGGUACCUAAUCAGAAAGCCACGGCUAACUACGUG
rnacentral:rRNA from 1 species